GAUGAACGCUGGCGGCGUGCCUAAUACAUGCAAGUCGAGCGAACGGACGAGAAGCUUGCUUUUCUGAUGUUAGCGGCGGACGGGUGAGUAACACGUGGAUAACCUACCUAUAAGACUGGGAUAACUUCGGGAAACCGGAGCUAAUACCGGAUAAUAUUUUGAACCGCAUGGUUCAAAAGUGAAAGACGGUCUUGCUGUCACUUAUAGAUGGAUCCGCGCUGCAUUAGCUAGUUGGUAAGGUAACGGCUUACCAAGGCAACGAUGCAUAGCCGACCUGAGAGGGUGAUCGGCCACACUGGAACUGAGACACGGUCCAGACUCCUACGGGAGGCAGCAGUAGGGAAUCUUCGGCAAGGGGCGGAAGCCUGACGGAGCAGCGCCGCGUGAGUGAUGAAGGUCUUCGGAUCGUAAAACUCUGUUAUUAGGGAAGAACAUAUGUGUAAGUAACUGUGCACAUCUUGACGGUACCUAAUCAGAAAGCCACGGCUAACUACGUG
rnacentral:rRNA from 1 species